rnacentral:rRNA from 1 species
GACGUAGGGCGCGAGCGUUGUCCGGAUUUAUUGGGCGUAAAGAGCUCGUAGGCGGCUUGUCGCGUCGUCCGUGAAAACCUGGGGCUCAACCCCAGGCUUGCGGUCGAUACGGGCAGGCUAGAGUUCGGUAGGGGAGACUGGAAUUCCUGGUGUAGCGGUGAAAUGCGCAGAUAUCAGGAGGAACACCGGUGGCGAAGGCGGGUCUCUGGGCCGAUACUGACGCUGAGACGCGAAAGCGUGGGGAGCAAACAGG